AGCUCUAUACUUUAAGUAAAAGGCCUGAUUUGCAAUCAAACAUUGAAUUCUCAUUCUAGAGCUA
rnacentral:tRNA from 1 species